rnacentral:snRNA from 1 species
GUGCGGGAUGACAGGCUGAGCCACCGAGCCCGGCAGCACAUAUACUAAAAUUGAAACGAUACAGAGAAGAUUAGCAUGGCCCCUGCGCUUGAUUUUUUUUUUAAGCAUCUCUUUUUU